UUUCCCAACCAGGGGACCUCGUUUUUUUUUUUACAGCCGGGCAUGCUGGGAGCUGUAGUUUUGUAACAGCUGGGAGCACACUGGUUGGGAAACACUGGACUAAAACAAAUAUCCAUUACUCUUUCAUGCAGUAUGCUAUUGACAGACGAAGGCUGGAGCUUCACAGCGAAAUUGUUGCAACACCGUCUCACCAUCGAUCGCUGUGAGAAAUGCCCAACAGCAAUUGUGUGAUUUUUAUAUUUCCCAGACCUGUUACUUGCCCCAGGAUUUGGACAACUUGCCAUAAUUGACAGAACAAUGACUUCUGCGCUCAAUAAGAAAACGAGAAUGUAUGCCUGCCAGUUC